GUAGGGAAUAUUGCGCAAUGGACGAAAGUCUGACGCAGCGACGCCGCGUGAGUGAUGAAGGCCUUAGGGUCGUAAAGCUCUGUUGAAUGGGAAGAAAAAAAUGACGGUACCAUUCGAGGAAGGACCGGCUAACUUCGUGCCAGCAGCCGCGGUAAUACGAGGGGUCCUAGCGUUGUUCGGAAUCAUUGGGCGGAAAGGGGGUGUAGGUGGCCAUGUAAGUCAGGGGUGAAAGCACCGGGCUCAACCCGGGAAGUGCACUUGAUACUGCGUGGCUUGAGUACCGAAGAGGGUAGUGGAAUUCCAGGUGUAGUGGUGAAAUACGUAGAUAUCUGGAGGAACACCGGUGGCGAAGGCGGCUACCUGGUCGAGUACUGACACUGAGACACGAAAGCAUGGGGAUCAAACAGGAUUAGAUACCCUGGUAGUCC
rnacentral:rRNA from 1 species